GUUUUGAUUGGAGCAAGGUUUAUAUGAAAAAUGGUGUCCACAGAACCUAUAAAAAAAAAAAAAUAAUAAAUAUUAUUGUAAAAUUAUACAUUUCUCGCUUUUACUUAGAAUUUAAAUAGAAAUAAAGCACUCAUAUUAAUAAUACAUUAAUUUUACAAUAUAAUACAGAGUUUUUCAAAAUCUAAAAAAAAUUUGUAGGACUAGGUCAGGGGUCGGCAACCUUUUUUGAUGGAAGAGCCAAAAGUUACAAUGUACAAAAUUUUCCAGAUUUUAAAGAGCCACUAAAAAUUUUCUUAAGUAUUUAAAUAUAAUUAUAUUUUUAAAUUUUAAUAGACAUAAUAAUAAUGAAAUUAAUUAUAAUAAUAUAAUAAAUUUAUGAUAAAAAAAAAAAAAAAAAACAGUUUUUAAUAAUAGGGGAAUACAUCAAUGGGAGCAUUGGCUUUGCAUGUCUUGGCGUGACGGCGUAUGACCAAUUAGUUUUAGAUAGCGUCGCGAUUAUAUUAGACUCUAUAAUAAACAUUUUACAACUAUAGACUGUACUCCAUGCGAGCACUGUCAAAUUAUUUUUGUGAUGUAUUAUUUCAUAUUUCCAAAAGCAACAAAAAUAAUAUACUUUUUUUUUUAUAUUAUAAAAUAUUGUUUUUGAACUAAAAUAUUAAUUUUUGUGUGUGCAGCUGGAGAGCCGCAACUUUAGACCGAAAGAGCCGCAUGUGGCUCGCGAGCCGCAGGUUGCCGACCCCUGGACUAGGUGGUCAACAAAAUUUGGACCAAUCGAUUUUUGAAUCUCUGAGGUCCAAUCUAGUGCCAAUCUGCCACAGGGAUAACUUAAAUUAGUUAAAAACAAUUACCAAUAAUUAUUGGUUAACUUGCUCAGCUUUGGAGAUUUCAUAGCUACUAAUAUUGCGAUAUUAAUGAAAUAUUUAAAACUUUUCUGUGGCAAUAAAAAAUAAAAUAAAAUAAAUAAUGUUCUUAUAAAUUUAUCAUUAUGUCAGUGUCACACAUAAAGAUUAGAUUAUGUAAAUGGUUCUUUGAUAGUUGUUUAGUAAUAGCCGUUUUAAUUUCUAGAUAAUUUUACAAAAUGGCUACUUUAAAAGUUUUAAAAGUUAUUUUUUUCAGUAAUUAAGGGAUGAAAAAUAAAAAUUGAAUUGUUUCCUGCACAUGUCCCCC